ACUCGCCUGCUAAUCCCGCCGGGCCCGGUCCGCAGCCUCAGCGCGGGGAGAGAGGGGACGCGGCGCUGCGGCCGCCGGGGAGGUGUCCCGCCUCCAGUCGCCGGAGGGGGGAGUGUCCCGCCUCCCGCCGCCGUCGCCGCCGUCUGUCUCCAGCCGUGACUGCGCGCCGCGGCUGUGUCUGUCUCCAACUCCUCCAGUCUCUCCUCCUCCUUCCCACUCCGCGGUGGGGACCCGGCGCGCGGCCAGGCCGCGGGUACCGGGGCCGCCGUGGCGGGGGCUCAGGGGUCCCCGGCUCACAGGCUGCGCCGACCCCUGCGGGGGGCGGGCCCGGAGGCCGGGGGUGGGCAGUGGGGGAGGCGCGCGGGCGCCGAGGCCGCGGGACCCGGGGCCGCACUCCCGCCCAGGGCUCGGGCCCGCGUGGCGCGCGCCCACCGCCGGCCGCACGGGGAACUCCAAGCCGAGCGCAGAGUACGCUGCAGGGGCGCCCGGAGGAGCCGGCUCGCUGCCCGCAGGCCGGGGGCGGUUUCGGGAGGCUGGGGGCGCGUUCCAGCACAGAGUACCUCGCGGGCUGCGUGUGCACCACGGGCCGCGGGACCUCGGGCAGCCGCCUAGAGACGUGCAGUCGGGCGGCAGGACACUUAGUAGGACGGAGCAGUGCUCGGCGAGCCUUGAGGAGCUUGAGGCGCCCCCGGACCCCACCUGGUCGCCCCCUUAGUAUCCUGCCCUCUUUAAAGGAAAUGGCUCCUGCCUAGAAGGUCAGAUGGAUUCUUCGCGCUGUGACCCUUUCUCCUUGAAGGACCUACACCUCCUGUGAAGACCAUUUCGGACUUGACCUCCACCUGAGUGCAGACUUUGUUCAGAAGUACACGCAUUGCCUCCAGCCACCCCUACCAUGUUUGAUGGGGGAUUGGUUACUGCCAGAGCAUAUGAGCAUUUUAACCCAAUUUUAUUGCAGUCACCAAAAUUAGUUCGCCUCUGCCAAAAUUAACCCCCCUGCAGACAUAUCAAAAUACUACACUAAGCAGGGGUUUCAGGCUGGGUUUAAGAUAGAUGCAGCUGAUUAAAGGAGUGAACAUUUUCAACUGUCCCCACACACCCCCCAAAAAGUUGUCCAGUUCAUAUUUCCGUAAUGUCAGAGAAAUGAAUCUUUUGAAACCUACGUUUUGUCUAAUUUGUCAGUGACUUUUUAGUUAGUGAAAUGUUGGCUGAAUUCAGUUUCCCUUAAGCCCUCAGCUCUCAGCUAUGGUGGUAAUUGCCGCUAGCCUUUGAUCAGUGCUCAUAUGUGAUGUAAUAAUAACUACCAUUCAUGGAGCGCUUCUGUGCUAAGCGCUUUACAUGGAUUGUCUGAUUGAGUCCUCACAAUAACUGGGAGCUAUUACUUCUCCAUUUUACACAUGACGAAGUUGAGGCUAGAAGGAUUUAGUAAUUUGUCCUCAGACCACAAAGAGAUGGUUUUACAUCCCUAACUAGCUGCAUAGAAAGCUGGGAGCUGAACCAGCAUGCCAUACUGCCACCUACCUACAGCAGCGCUGACAGUUCUUCAGCUCAGCCCGCAAACCAGCCAGCAUCUGCCCUGUGCCCGGCAAUGAGCCCGCUCCAGCUGGGAAUGCCCAGGUCCUGGUCUAACUGAGAAGCUUGUAGCAGGGGAACUUUGAACCUGGCUGCCUGGGUUGAAAAUCACACAGGAUGGAAAGAGAAGUGUUCUGCAGGCAACUUCUGCUCUCAGCCUGGCUGCAGAGCUCUCUCCUUGGGCAAAAGCCACAGCACCUGCUCUCUCCUUAGGGGCCAGGGAGUGAAGACAAAGGGAAAACACAGCAAGAAAGAAAGAAAUGUGUGACCUCAAAGACAAUCCAUCCAGACAUAUUUGUGUGUGGUAUCUACACAUUACAUCGCUGAAAAAUGA
rnacentral:lncRNA from 1 species